ACAUCGCCUCUUGAGCCCUGAAUAUAAGAGGUCCCGCCUGCCCUGUGACUAUAAGUUUAACGGCCGCGGUAUUUUGACCGUGCAAAGGUAGCGCAAUCACUUGUCUUUUAAAUGAAGACCUGUAUGAAUGGCAUAACGAGGGCUUGACUGUCUCCUUUUUCCAGUCAAUAAAAUUGAUCCCCCCGUGCAGAAGCGGGGAUACUAACAUAAGACGAGAAGACCCUAUGGAGCUUUAGACGCCAGAACAGACCAUGUCAAACACCCCUUAAAUAAAGGGCAAAACUAAUUGGCUCCUGUUCUAAUGUCUUUGGUUGGGGCGACCGCGGGGAAACAAAAAACCCCCAUGUGGACCGGGGGUACACCACCCCCACAACCCAGAGUUACAACUCCAAGUAACAGAACUUCUGACCAAUAAGAUCCGGCACAUGACCGAUCAACGGACCGAGUUACCCUAGGGAUAACAGCGCAAUCCUCUUUUAGAGCCCAUAUCGACAAGGGGGUUUACGACCUCGAUGUUGGAUCAGGACAUCCUAAUGGU
rnacentral:rRNA from 1 species